GAUCAUGGCUCAGGAUGAACGCUAGCUACAGGCUUAACACAUGCAAGUCGAGGGGAAACGACAUCGAAAGCUUGCUUCUGAUGGGCGUCGACCGGCGCACGGGUGAGUAACGCGUAUCCAACCUGCCCACCACUUGGGGAUAACCUUGCGAAAGUAAGACUAAUACCCAAUGAUAUCUCUAGAAGACAUCUGAAAGAGAUUAAAGAUUUAUCGGUGUACGAUGGGGAUGCGUUCCA
rnacentral:rRNA from 1 species